rnacentral:rRNA from 1 species
UCGAGAAUUUUUCUCAAUGGGCGCAAGCCUGAAGGAGCGACGCCGCGUGGAGGAUGAAGGUCUUCGGAUUGUAAACUCCUGUCAUUAGGGAACAAAGCUUCCGGUUAACUGCCGUGGAGUCUGAUAGUACCUGAAGAGGAAGAGACGGCUAACUCUGUGCCAGCAGCCGCGGUAAUACAGAGGUCUCAAGCGUUGUUCGGAUUCAUUGGGCGUAAAGGGUGCGUAGGUGGCAAGGUAAGUCGGGUGUGAAAUCCCGGGGCUCAACCCUGGAACUGCACUCGAUACUGCCAUGCUCGAGUACUGGAGAGGAGACUGGAAUUUACGGUGUAGCAGUGAAAUGCGUAGAUAUCGUAAGGAAGACCAGUGGCGAAGGCGAGUCUCUGGACAGUUACUGACACUGAGGCACGAAGGCCAGGGGAGCAAACGGGAUUAGAUACCCGAGUAGUCCCUGAGCGGGCUGGCAAGGCGCAU